CUGAAAGCACCCUCAGAACGAUGCAGCAAAACCAAACGCAAAAAAAUCAUUGAAUGGUCAAGUCUCCUAUAUUGCACAUCAUCGCCCUAUUAUGUAGAUCUGCAGGUAGCCGAUCACAUGAGAACCAUGAUCAAAUGCAGUAUGCCUGAAGAAACAAUAGAAGUGAAAUAUUUCAAAAUCUAAUUUCGGAAGAAGCAAGGUCCUUUGCUUACAUGAGAACUGUGAUGAUACAGUCAACACAUCAGUUGAUAGUUGCGUUGGAGAUGAAGAAAAGUAAACUAUCAACAUCUCUUUCCUACAGGUGUUAUCUAUCAACAUCUCCAUCUUUCUCACCCAUCCUAUAUCUCCCUUUGCUCCAGUUCAGACCCAUAAAUUUCCCUCAACCUCUCCAUCUCCCUUAGUAUCCUCCCCAGUCACCACCGGCCACCUCCUCCGCCGUCUUGCUAGAUCAUACCAUGACGCCACCUACUGACCAGCUUGCGAAUCCUACCAUGCUUAACAAUUGACUACCUGAACCUGUACACACCUAAACUACAUGUGCACAAGACACUUGUAUGCUCCUCCUAAUUAAUCAAGCCUAAAUUCACUUGUUUGACAGGAUGGAUCCUCUGUUGAUUCAUCCGCUCUGAGAUGGAUGGAUCAGAUCCCUGGCUUCACUUGAGCACAUCUGGGAUCGAUGAGUGGGUCACUCAACUCCAUCGUCUGAAGCUUCUGGUCCAGCCCCCGGACGGGCCUCAAACCUCGAAUUCAUCGAUCAUACGGUGGCAUAAAACUACAAUAUCAUCAAAAACAACUAUUGCGAGGAACUCAAAUCAAAUAAAAAGAGACAUAUAUUGUUCAAAGAGAAAUUUGAGGUGCUUCGCAUUAAUCCAUAUAGAAAAAGAGCAGCAAUUUAACAACCAUAUGAAGGCAUGACCCACAACUUGCUCAGGCUACUGUAUACUGUGCAUUGUUCUGGGGGCCAUGAUCCACCCACAGCAGAAUCCCUGACCUUACAUAAUAUUAUGCACAGAAUUAUCCAAAUUGCUACUAAAAGCUACCAGCCAACAGCAAGAAGAACAAAAAGAAAUUCUUAGUCUUCUAUAUGUAAGUGUUUAAACAAAACUUCUACCUGGCUUUUCAAGGGAAAAAGGUAGAAGGAUGUAAGCUUGUACUUUAGCACUAAAAAGUAAUGUUGCAUUAGAAUAGUAGGAGUACAGAAAAAAAAAUAGAAGAACCAUCUCAAUAGCAGAAUUCUUCUACCAUCAGAAUUCUCACUACCACCAAGAUCAAAAGCUCAGCUCGACAAACUGAUUUAACUAAUGCUAAAUAAACUGAUGAUUUUCUGAAAAAUUUCUCCAAGUAAACAACACACCUCUUGCAAAUGUAGUUGUCGACUUGAAUGGAAUACUCGCAGCAGUGAGCAGUCAACAUGCCUGUUGUAUUCUCUCUAUGACCAUUUACCCGCCAACCUAUUGCAAGCCUACAACUACA
rnacentral:lncRNA from 1 species